AUCUCUUUUGCUAUUUUUUAGUAUUGGAGAUUUUGUUACUUUGAGUAAAUUAGAGUGUUCAAAGCAAACAGUUAAAGCAUUUUUACUGCGUUUGAAUACUACAGCAUGGAAUAACAAAAUUGAACAAGUCAGAAUUCUGUUCUUUUUUCUUAUUUUGGCUUAGUUACGAUUAAUAGGAGUAGCUUGGAGGCAUUUGUAUUCAGAUGUCAGAGGUGAAAUUCUUAGAUUUUCUGGAGACAAACAACUGCGAAAGCAUUUGUCUAAAAUACUUCCAUUAAUCAAGAACGAAAGUUAAGGGAGUGAAGACGAUCAGAUACCGUCGUAAUCUUAACCAUAAACUAUGCCGACUAGGUUUUGGAUGAAACAUUUUUAAAUAAGAAAAUUCCUUUCGGGGAAAUUUCUUAGAUUGCUUCUUUCAGUACCUUAUGAGAAAUCAAAGUCUUUGGGUUCUGGGGCGAGUAUUCGCGCAAGCGAGAAAGUUAAAAGAAUUGACGGAAGGGCACCACCAGGCGUGGAGCUUGCGGCUUAAUUUGACUCAACACGGGGAAACUCACUAGUUUAAGACAAGAGUAGGAUUGACAGAUUAAUAGCUCUUUCUUGAUUUCUUGGAUGGUGAUGCAUGGCCGUUUUUAGUUCGUGAAUAUGAUUUGUCUGGUUAAUUCCGAUAACGAACGAGAUCUUAACCUGCUAAUUAGCGGCGAAUACGUUAUAUUCUUAUGUGAAAUUGAAUAUAGCUGAAUUUGCUUAUUUUGAAGAAUACAUUAGGAUACAAUUAAUGUGUCCUUUUCC
rnacentral:rRNA from 1 species